rnacentral:lncRNA from 13 species
AAUAUUUAAUGAAAUUCAUUUGAAAUUCUGUUCUGAGAUGGGCCUUUGUGUAUGUCUAUGUGAAAAAAUAGUUUAAGCUAUUAGGAACUGGCAUGAACAGAAAACGCUAAGAGCCAACCUGGCGUACAUAUAAAUCAGGCUUACAAUUACAGAAUAGGCCUAUAUUGUUCCAACUCCUUGUCAAUAGCAAUGCAAUGCCCUAUACAGGUGUAGUGCUCCUUGCGGUUAAAGGUGCGCCUAUUCGUUUAUUCCUUGCAGGCGGAAAGUGCCUGCUGGGACACUGCGCAGUCACAAGUGCUGAUCAAAGCCUCUGCUGCAGGUCGAAGGAACCUGGCAGUGACAGGCCGAAUCAAGGCCCUGGAGCAGCCAGUUUGGUCGACACUCGGUCCAGAAGGGGGGCUGCAAGGCUGAGUCCUGGGGCCAGUCCAGAUAGGUCCUGGUCUUGACCAGUCUUGCCAGACGGCUUGACCAGUCUUGCCAGUGGCUGAAGGGGAUGUCCUCAAGGAAGACCAGGAUGAGGAUGUUCCUGUGCUCCACCAGCAGACGGAGGGUGGCCAGGCGUAGCUUUAAAGAGCACCAGUUACUGCACAGGUUGUGACGACUCAUGGAGUAGCAGCUGCCAUAGAGGCUGUCUGUGAUGUUGUCAUGAUGUCCUUCCCCAGCAGGAAGUCCCUGCUGUGCAAGCUGAGACACAGGAAUGGGGGCCUCCUCUGCUCCAUGCCUGACAGUAGCUUCUCCACCACCCAGCGUUUGUCGCUCCUGCUGAACGACUCAAAGGCCUCUAGAGACAUGACCUCCUCCAGACAGCUGCGGGAGAUGUGUCCGAGGGACAGCAGGUAGUCCCCGGACAGCUAAUGGAGCAGCACCACCAGCAUGAAGAGGAGAAGGCCCAUGGAGUUGCAGAUGAACAAGACAAAACCCACGUCUAGGGAACAGUUGGCCUUUGAGUCCCUAUUACAAUUGUGGAUAGCAUUUUCAUUCUUGCAUGUUAGUCCCCAAGGUGAUACAUGAUGACCUGAGCAUGUCUCUGUUUUAUUUAAUUUUUAUUUCACCUUUAUUUAACCAGGUAGGCUAGUUGAGAAAAAGUUCUCAUUUACAACUGUGACCUGGCCAAGAUAAAGAAAGGAGUUCGACACAUAGAACAACACAGAGUAAUACAAGGAAUAAACAAACAAACAUACAAUCAAUAAUUCAGUAGAAAAAUCUAUAUACAGCAUGUGCAAAUGAGGUAGGAUAAGGGAGGUAAGGCAAUAAAUAGGCCAUGGUGGUAAAGUAAUUACAAUAUAGCAAUUAAACACUGGAAUGGUAGGUGUGCAAAAGAUUAAUGUGCAAGUGGAGAUACUGGGGUGCAAAGGAGCAAGAUAAAUAAAUAAAUACAGUAUGGGGAUGAGGUAGAUUGGAAAGGCUAUUUUCAGAUGAGAUAUGUACAUGUGCAGUGAUCUGUGAGCUGCUCUGACAGCUGGUGUUUACAGCAAGUGAGGGAGGUAAGAGUCUCCAACUUCAGGGAUUUUUGCAGUUCGUUACAGUCACUGGCAGCAGAGAACUGGAAGGAGAGGUGGCCAAAGGAAGAAUUAGCUUUGGGGGUGACCUUUGAGAUAUACCUUCUGGAGUGCGUGCUACGGGUGGGUGCUGCUAUGGUGACCAGUGAGCUGAGAUAAGGCCAGGCUUUUUCUAGCAGAGACCUGUAGAUGUCCUGCAGCCAGUGGGUUUGGCGACGAGUAUAAAGUGAAGGCCAGCCAACGAGCGCAUACAGGUCGCAGUGGUGGGUAAUAUAUGGGGCUUUGGUGACCAAACGGAUGGCACCGUGAUAGACUGCAUCCAAUUUGUUGAGCAGUGUUGGAGGCUAUUUUGUAAAUGACAUUUAGGAUCGGUGGGAUAGUCAGUUUUACGAGGGUAUGUUUGACAGCAUGAGUGAAGGAUGCUUUGUUGCGAAAUAGGAAGCCGAUUCUAGAUUUAAUUUUGGAUUGAAGAUGUUUAAUGUGAGUCUGGGAGGAGAGUUUACAGUCUAACCAGACACCUAGGUAGUUUCCCACAUAUUCUAAUUCAGAACAGUCCAGAGUAGUGAUGCUGGACAGACGGCAUUGAAGCUCAUCUGGAGGUUAGUUAACACAGUGUCCAAAGAAGGGCCAGAGGUAUACAGAAUGGUGUCGUCUGCGUAGAGAUGGAUCAGAGAAUCACCAGCAUCAAGAGUGACAUCAUUGAUGUAUACAGAGAAGAGAGUUGGCCCGAGAAUUGAACCCUGUGGCACCCCCAUAGAGACUGCCAGAGAUCCGGACAACUGGCCCUCCGAUUUGACAUAUUGAACUAUAUCGGGGAAGUAGUUGGUGAACCAAGCGAGGCAAUCAUUUGAGAAACUGAGUCUGCCAAUAAGAAUGUUGUGAUUGAGAGAGUCGAAAGCCUUAGCAAGGUCAACGAAUACAGCUGCACAGUAAUAUCUCUUAUCGAUGGUGGUUAUGAUAUCGUUUAGGACCUUGAGCGUGGCUGAGGUGCACCCAUGACCAGUUCUGAAACCAGAGAGCAUAGCAGAGAAGGUACGGUUAGAUUCGAAGUGGUCGGUAAUCUGUUUGUUAACUUGGCUUUCAAAGACCUUAGAAAGGCAGGGUAGAAUAGAUAUAGGUCUGUAGCAGUUUGGGCCCAGAGUGUCUCCCCCUUUGAAGAGGGGGAUGACCGCGGCAGCUUUCCAAUCUAUGUGAAUCUCGGAAGAUACAAAAAAGGGGUUGUACAGGCUAGUAAUAGGGGUUGCAACAAUUUCAGCAGAUCAUUUUAGAAAGAGAGUUUGUACUACAGGAUGCACAUUUCUGUUUGAAAAAGCUAACCUUAGCUUUCCUAACUGCCUGUGUAUAUUGGUUCCUAACUUCCCUGAAAAGUUGCAUAUCACGAGGGCUAUUCGAUGCUAAUGCAGAACGCCACAGGAUGUUUUGGGGUCCAGGAUCCAGGGGACCAGCCAGUACUUAUCACAACUGAUGACCUGGACAUGUCUCUGUCCUUGGGCCCAGGGGACCAGCCAGGAGUUAUCACAGUUGCAAUGUAUUCGAGGAACAUAGAAUACCAGGGACCUUAGGCUGGUCAGGGUCUCUGGGAAGCUCUCCAUCACACUGAACUCUUCUAGAGAUUCCACCAUCAACUGCCUGAGGGAGUGGAGGUCUCUGCUCAGCUCUUCCUCCAGAGUGAAUUGAAUUCAGGCUCUCCAGCCUGGUCAGGUUGUGAAACAUGUUGGCCAGCCUCUCCCAUCAGGUUCAGAAACCUCAGCUGCACAAGCAUGUCCAGGUCAGAUAAGUAUUCCAGGGAGGUGAGGUACCGUGCGGUGAAGUGAUGCCCACAUAGAAGUUGAUCAUUACUGCUGUGAGACUGAAGACAGACUGGAAGAUUGGCCUUCAGCAGUUGAGCACGUAGCUGAAGAGUGAGGCCGGGUUUUAGGGUGCUGUUGAUGAUGGUAAGAGGGUACCAAUGGAGGAAAUGUUCAAAUGAGUCAGGCCUUGAGGGAUGGCACCAAAUAUAUGUGUCACGUUCACACUGUUCUCCACCUCAGAGGGAGGAGGGAGAAAGUCCCCUAAAUCUAUGUUCGUCAGCAAAGUGAGGUGGAUGAAUGCAGACACGUCGAUAUAUACAAGGGGGUUUUCUCACAGCAUGAGGGUAUCCAAGCUGUCAAGGCCAAAGAAAUGAUUAUCUGUAAUCUGAGAGAUCAUGUUUAAUGUUAGGUCUAAGAAUCUCAAUUCACCCAGUCCCUGAGAUGUUAAGUCUAGAAUAAUAGUUAUGUCAUUGAGUCCUGAAUCUAGCCACUCCAGAUGUCUCAAGCAAUUAAAAUGCUCUGACGUGAUGUGGGAUAACUUUCAAAAGAAGACUAACUGCCACAUCGGUAUGAUUCCUCAAACAAUGAAUCAAUCCUAAAUUGACACUGUCAUUAUCUCUAGAAAAUAUUACUAUUUCUCAGUGCAGACCAUGACUAGUUUCCAAUUUUAUGGAUCCUUAAAUCAAGUUUUGUGAUUGAGAGUUUAUGUACUGUCCCACAAACAGACAAAAAAUACAUGUUUUUGUCGUCGAAAUCGAAAGAACGCAAUCUACUGAUACCAGACUGCAGAAGCUGAGUCUGUCCUUCAUCAAUAUCAGGCAAAAUCAGAGAUGAUAUGUUUUCGAAUCAUAUUUAAUUAUGUGACGCACCCCACUGAAUGAAAAGUCCACUUCUUGCAGACAAUAGAAAUAAGGAAGCUCAAGAAAAGCUCUGUUUCUGUCAGAGCAGUUCUGGUGUCUCAAAAUGUCUAUCUCCUCUGAGUGAAAGAAAUACAUCCCAGCAAGAGACACUAAUGUCACACCCUGACCUGAGAUAUCUCUGUUUUCUUUAUAUUUUGGUUAGGUCAGGGUGUGACUAGGAUGGGUACGCUAGUUUUUGUAUUGUCUAGGGUUUUUGUAUGUCUAGGGUUGUUGUAGGUCUUGGGGUUUUUGUAUUUCUAUGUUGGCCUGAUAUGGUUCUCAAUCAGAGGUAGCUGUUUAUCGUUGUCUCUGAUUGGGGAUCAUAUUUAGGUAGCCAUUUCCCGUUUGUGUUUGGUGGGAUCUUAUUCUAUGUUUAGUUGCCUGUCUGCACUAUUCGUUUUAGCGCCACGGUUCGUUUUGUUAGUUUGUUCAGUGUUCUUUCUGUAAUAAAAGAAGAAUGUACGUAUACCACGCUGCACUUUGGUCUCCUUCGUAUAACGAACGUGACAACUAAGUUGUUGUAAGAUUAAUUUUAAUAGAUACCUAAAACCGGAUUGUCUUCUCAGAAAGAAUGCAUUUGUUACUCAACCGACCCAAGGAAGCAAAUAUCCAAACCACAUAAAAUCCCAACAGAGGAAAGACCAACCUAAUUCUUCUGGUGAAGUAGAGACACCUGCAGAUUAUGUUGGUGGUUUUGUUUGUCCAGGGGAAUUGAUUUCAGUUUCUUGUUCAGUUUAAUUCAGUGAAGGUCAGU